rnacentral:rRNA from 1 species
UACAGAAGUCCCAAGCGUUGUUCGGAUUCACUGGGCGUAAAGGGUGCGUAGGCGGUCGGGUAAGUCUGAUGUGAAAUCUCCAAGCUCAACUUGGAAAUGGCAUCGGAUACUAUUCGGCUCGAGGAAUGGAGGGGAGACUGGAAUACUUGGUGUAGCAGUGAAAUGCGUAGAUAUCAAGUGGAACACCAGUGGCGAAGGCGAGUCUCUGGACAUUUCCUGACGCUGAGGCACGAAAGCCAGGGGAGCAAACGGG